AAUGAACGCUGGCGGCACGCCUAACACAUGCAAGUCGAACGGAGAUGGUGACUUCGGUUAUCAUCUUAGUGGCGGACGGGUGAGUAAUACGUGGGAAUUUGCCUUUUGGUGGGGGAUAACUCUUGGAAACAAGAGCUAAUACCGCAUACGCUCUGAGGAGCAAAGAUUUUAUCGCCAAAAGAUAAGCCCGCGGUAGAUUAGCUUGUUGGUGAGGUAAUGGCUCACCAAGGCUACGAUCUAUAGCUGAUUUGAGAGGAUGAUCAGCCACACUGGGACUGAGACACGGCCCAGACUCCUACGGGAGGCAGCAGUGGGGAAUAUUGGACAAUGGGGGCAACCCUGAUCCAGCGAUGCCGCGUGUAUGAAGAAGGCCUCGGGUUGUAAAGUACUUUCAGUGGUGAUGAUUAUGACAGUAGCCACAAAAAGAAGACA
rnacentral:rRNA from 1 species